rnacentral:rRNA from 1 species
CAGUAGCCGCGGUAAUACGGAGGGAGCUAGCGUUGUUCGGAAUUACUGGGCGUAAAGCGCGCGUAGGCGGUUACUCAAGUCAGAGGUGAAAGCCCGGGGCUCAACCCCGGAACUGCCUUUGAAACUAGGUGACUAGAAUCUUGGAGAGGUCAGUGGAAUUCCGAGUGUAGAGGUAAAAUUCGUAGAUAUUCGGAAGAACACCAGUGGCGAAGGCGACUGACUGGACAAGUAUUGACGCUGAGGUGCGAAAGCGUGGGGAGCAAACAGGAUUAGAUACCCGCGUAGUCCCUGUCUCUUAUAA